rnacentral:rRNA from 1 species
AUGUGGAGAACCAGUGUAGAAUGCAUUGGUUUGCUUGGUGGAAGAUAUGUCUUCCGAGAGAGAGGAGGCAUGGGAUUUUGUGAUAUCUGUAGUUUUAACUUGGCAAUGCUAACCAAGCAGUGUUGGAGACUUAUUGAUAACUAUGGUUCUUUGUGUGCACGAGUGUUAAGAGCAAGGUAUUACCCUACAGAAGACAUCUUAAACUGUCAACUAAAGAAGGCAUCAUCUUAUGUAUGGCAAAGUAUUUGGGCUGGCAUCCAAACAUUCAAGAAGGGAUGUAUUUGGAGAAUUGGAAAUGGAGAAAAGAUCAAUAUUUGGACAGACUACUAGAUUCUGAACAGUGCUUCAAAGAAAAUUAUUACAAUUUGUGGAAACCAAAUACUCACGAAAGUUGGAGAGCUAAUUGAUCCAAUAACGGGAGAGUGGGAUGAGAUUAUAGUCCGGGAAAAUUCCUGGCUAAUUGAUAUGGAUCGCAUACUACAGAUUCUAUUAUUUCAUGAGGAGACAGAGGACUAUGUCGCAUGGCAUAUCACGAAGAAUGGAGUUUUUUGA